UCAUACUGACUCUGCUUUUCUCUUUGGUUAUCUAGCUGUAUGAGUGAUGUCAAUGCAUCAUAAAGCUAGGUUACCAAAGAUAAGUGCCUGUUGUCACAUGU
rnacentral:pre_miRNA from 1 species